UACGUAGGGUGCAAGCGUUAAUCGGAAUUACUGGGCGUAAAGCGUGCGCAGGCGGUUUUGUAAGUCUGACGUGAAAUCCCCGGGCUCAACCUGGGAAUUGCGUUGGAGACUGCAAGGCUAGAAUCUGGCAGAGGGGGGUAGAAUUCCACGUGUAGCAGUGAAAUGCGUAGAGAUGUGGAGGAACACCGAUGGCGAAGGCAGCCCCCUGGGUCAAGAUUGACGCUCAUGCACGAGAGCGUGGGGAGCAAACAGG
rnacentral:rRNA from 1 species